rnacentral:snoRNA from 1 species
UUUUACAAUGAUGAGAAACAUUUACUUAUUUUUACAGUUAUCCCUGUCUGAAUGUGUGUAAAUUGGUAAUAUCACAUAUGUCGAUAAUUUUUACUCUGAAGUUAAA